rnacentral:rRNA from 1 species
CCUACGGGAGGCUGCAGUGGGGAAUAUUGGGCAAUGGGCGCAAGCCUGACCCAGCAACGCCGCGUGAAGGAAGAAGGCUUUCGGGUUGUAAACUUCUUUUCUCAGGGACGAAGCAAGUGACGGUACCUGAGGAAUAAGCCACUGCUAACUACGUGCCAGCAGCCGCGGUAAUACGUAGGUGGCAAGCGUUAUCCGGAUUUACUGGGUGUAAAGGGCGUGUAGGCGGGAAAGCAAGUCAGAUGUGAAAACCAUGGGCUCAACCUGUGGCCUGCAUUUGAAAUUGUUUUUCUUGAGUACAGGAGAGGCAGGCGGAAUUCCUAGUGUAGCGGUGAAAUGCGUAGAUAUUAGGAGGAACACCAGUGGCGAAGGCGGUCUGCUGGACAGCAACUGACGCUGAGGCGCGAAAGCGUGGGGAGCAAACAGGAUUAGAUACCCGUGUAGUC